rnacentral:rRNA from 1 species
UGGGAAUUUGGACAAUGGGCGCAAGCCUGAUCCAGCAAUGCCGCGUGCAGGAUGAAGGCCUUCGGGUUGUAAACUGCUUUUGUACGGAACGAAAAGCCUCUCUCUAAUACAGGGGGUGAUGACGGUACCGUAAGAAUAAGCACCGGCUAACUACGUGCCAGCAGCCGCGGUAAUACGUAGGGUGCAAGCGUUAAUCGGAAUUACUGGGCGUAAAGCGUGCGCAGGCGGUUUUGUAAGACAGUGGUGAAAUCCCCGGGCUCAACCUGGGAACUGCCAUUGUGACUGCAAGGCUGGAGUGCGGCAGAGGGGGAUGGAAUUCCGCGUGUAGCAGUGAAAUGCGUAGAUAUGCGGAGGAACACCGAUGGCGAAGGCAAUCCCCCUGGGCCUGCACUGACGCUCAUGCACGAAAGCGUGGGGAGCAAACAGGAUUAGAUACCCCUGGUAGUCCACGCCCUAAAACGAUGUCAACUGGUUGUUGGGGAUUUAUUUCUUCAGUAACGAAGCUAACGCGUGAAGUUGACCGCCUGGGGGAGUACGGCC